rnacentral:rRNA from 1 species
AUUGAACGCUGGCGGAAUGCUUUACACAUGCAAGUCGAACGGCAGCACGGACUUCGGUCUGGUGGCGAGUGGCGAACGGGUGAGUAAUACAUCGGAACGUGCCCACUCGUGGGGGAUAACGUAGCGAAAGCUACGCUAAUACCGCAUACUAUCUAAGGAUGAAAGCGGGGGAUCGCAAGACCUCGCGCGAUUGGCGCGGCCGAUGGCAGAUUAGGUAGUUGGUGGGGUAAAGGCUCACCAAGCCGACGAUCUGUAGCUGGUCUGAGAGGACGACCAGCCACACUGGGACUGAGACACGGCCCAGACUCCUACGGGAGGCAGCAGUGGGGAAUUUUGGACAAUGGGCGCAAGCCUGAUCCAGCCAUUCCGCGUGCAGGAUGAAGGCCCUCGGGUUGUAAACUGCUUUUGUACGGAACGAGAAGGCUCUGGUUAAUACCUGGGGCUCAUGACGGUACCGUAAGAAUAAGCACCGGCUAACUACGUGCCAGCCGCCGCGGUAA